GUACAAUGAGCACGUAUGCUAAAGUUGGAAUGAUUCAGCGAUUAGCAUGGGCCCUGCACAAGGAUGACACACAAAUUCAUGAAGCAUUCCAUUAAAAA
ensembl:snRNA U6 U6 spliceosomal RNA